UACGUAGGGAGCAAGCGUUGUCCGGAAUCAUUGGGCGUAAAGCGCGCGUAGGCGGCCUCAUAAGUCCGUUGUGAAAGUCAAAGGCUCAACCUUUGAAAGCCGAUGGAUACUGUGAGGCUAGAGUCCGGAAGAGGCGAGUGGAAUUCCUGGUGUAGCGGUGGAAUGCGUAGAGAUCCGGAAGAACACCGGUGGCGAAGGCGGUCUGCUGGGGUCGAACUGACGCUGAGGCGCGACAGCGUGGGGAGCAAACAGG
rnacentral:rRNA from 1 species